rnacentral:misc_RNA from 1 species
CCGGCCGGGCGCCGCGCUGGCCUACAGCGCAGCAGCAGCUCCGACAUGUUGCGCUUCGGUGUCACCACCAAGCCGUUCGAGGCGCGCCUGGAUGCGGCCAGUGCCGAGCAGAAGAAGCAGCGCCUGGAGACAUUCUUCCGCGAGCGCGAGGACGAGCGGCUGGCUCGCUCGUUCGACGACCUGUUGGACGGCCUGGACGAGGAGGAGCUGAUGGCGCCGGCGGCCGGUGAGUCGGCCGGCGGCCGGCAGCCGCCGCACGCGCUCGCCAAGUCGCACACGGUCGGUGACCUGCGGCUGGGACGAGGGCCACCUCCGCCGCCGCCGGCGUCCAGCGCGCGCAGCUCAUUCGCGCGGCGACAGCACGCCUGGGAGAGCAGCAUCGGCACGAGCAUGGCCCUCGGACUGGGCUCCUAUGCUCCGCCGCCGCCGCCGAAGCCUGCAGCAAACGAGAACGGCCAGAAUCCAGCUGGAAAAUCCAAAGCCGGCAACUCUAAAAGGGAUGGCUUUGAGCUGGACAUCGCCCCUCAGGGUCAGGGCACCAAGGAGGUCAUGUUGUUCUGGGUCCAGUGCCGGCUGAGGGACUACAAGACAGUGAAGGUGGAGAACUUCUCCACCAGCUGGAGCGAUGGCAUCGCGUUCUGCGCGCUCAUUCAUCACUUCUUCCCGGACGCCUUCGACUUCAGCAAGCUGGAUCCUAGAAAUCGGCGCUACAACUUCGACUUGGCCUUCAGAACCGCCGACGAGAGAGCCGGCAUCUUCCCUCUGUUGGAGCCCGACGACAUGGUGGCCAUGGAGAAGCCCGACUGGAAGAGCGUCUUCGCCUACAUCCAGUCCAUCUACAGCGUGCUGAAGUGAGGGGGCCCCGCCGCGCCACCACCCGAUGGCAGCGGCGGUCCGCUGGCAGCCCUGCCCUCUGAAUAGUCCCGUUCCGACGAGUGCCCGCCUGCGAGUGUGACAGAGAAGCCAAGCUGAGACGAAGCCGUCGUUAGCCGCGCCCAGUGCUGUGAAACUGCCCCUGAAGCUGCCAUCGCUCCUGCUCCCAGCGGCCAGAAUCCAGCUGGAAAAUCCAAAGCCGGCA